rnacentral:rRNA from 1 species
CACGUAGGGCGCAAGCGUUGUCCGGAAUUAUUGGGCGUAAAGAGCUCGUAGGCGGUCUGUUGCGUCCGCUGUGAAAACCCGGGGCUUAACCCCUGGCUUGCAGUGGAUACGGGCGGGCUGGAGUUCGGUAGGGGAGACUGGAAUUCCUGGUGUAGCGGUGAAAUGCGCAGAUAUCAGGAGGAACACCGGUGGCGAAGGCGGGUCUCUGGGCCGAUACUGACGCUGAGGCACGAAAGCGUGGGGAGCAAACAGG